GUGAGAAAUCAAUUCCUAUUGUUCACAAGCAUCUUCCCCCCUCCCCCCUCCAACUCCGCCCCGCCAUCAUGGUACUUGGUUAUAACAGCCCAAACGGAUGGAGACAGUCAUUCCCAGAAUUCUGCGAAGAAGGCUCUCUUACCUACGUUUUACUCAUCAGGAAUCAGAGGCCCCGAGAGGUGGCAUGACUUCCCCAGGGCCACAGGACUGGCUGCAGCAGAGCCCAGCUGCACAGCCCCGGCUCUUUGACUCCGAAGCCCGUGUUCUCCCAUCUGAGCUGCACUGCUUCUCCAGUGCCCCUCCACCUCUUUGGGCUUCAAUUUCCCCAUUUGUCUCAUGAAUCGAUUUAAUUAGAUCAGCCCAUCCAACCAAACACAAACUUCGUGAGCUGUUAGCAGGCCUUCUCAGAACCUCUCAGAGACGAAGAGUACCGCGGCUGUUUAAAAGGUGGGCAGUGCCCACAGCAUUUCCUGCCUGGCUGACCCAUGGGGCCAUGUGGAGCAGAACAUUGCUCAGGACUAAGUCUGGGGACACCUCACUCUGAAAUGCUGAUGAUCUGGACAGUCUUUUCAUUUACAAAGGGCCUGGGUUCUAUGAGCUUUCAACCUCCCCCCACCCCCCCACCCCCAUCAGCGGUCUUCAACUGAUGCUAAUACUGCUAAGUUCUACUCCGAGGAGGGAGACCCAGGUCGAGUCUGCCACUGAGCCCCCAGGGAAGCCUGGCUGUAGCCUGCCUCCUGGGAUGGCUCCUUCCCCUUCUCUGAGAUUCCUGUCGUUGCACUGACAAAUUGCCACAAACAUGUGCCUUAAAACAGCGGAGCGUUAUUGCCUUUCAGUUUGGGAGGUCAGAAGCCUCUGGGCUACAGUCAAGGUGCUGGCAGGGCUGUAUUCCUUCUGGAAGCUCAAGGAUUUUUCCUGCGUUUUCCAGCUUCUGGGGGCCACCCCCACUCCUUGGCUCAUGCCCCUUCCUCCAGCUUCAGCACCAGCAGUGGCAGGCCCAGCCUUCCUCGCAGCCUCGGUCAUCCACGUUUAGGGCUCUUGUGGUCCCACUGGACCCACCCGGGUCCCCCAGGCCAGUCUCCUGGUCAUGAGGUCAGCUGACUAGCAAGCUUAAUUCCAGCUGCACCCUUAAUGCCCCCUCUUGAGGUGGCAUCCAUUCACGGGUUCCAGGUUCUAGGUGGAUGUCUUCAGGGGCUGUUACUGUGCUUCCCUCGCCUCCUCUGCUCAGCUCUGAACUCAGCACAGUAACAGUGCUCAGAGCUGUGCCUGUGAUGCUCUCACCACGGCCCCCGGGGCGGCUGGCGCCCGUCACCCCUCCUGACAGGAAACCGAGGCUCAGAGGUGUGAAGUUGCCUGCUGAGGCCGCCCAGCAGGAAAACAGCCCAGCUGGGGCUCAUGGCCACGUCCACGCAUGCGCCUCAGGAGCCCAGGCUCUUGGCCACCAUGGGGGGCACCUGUUACCCGCCACGGGCCAGCUCCUCCCGCAGUGAGCGCCC
ensembl:lncRNA